ACCAGUAUGGUGUAGUAGUUUGAACACUGGACUAUGACUCCGGAGACUAGGGUUCAAAUCCCUACUCAGCCA